rnacentral:rRNA from 1 species
AACGUAGGAGACAAACGUUAUCCGGAGUUACUGGGCGUAAAGGGCGUGCAGGUGGUCUGUUAAGUCUGGCGUGAAAGCUCCUGGCUAAACCGGGAGAGGUCGUUGGAUACUGGCGGACUAGAGGACGGUAGAGGCGUGUGGAAUUCCGGGUGUAGUGGUGAAAUGCGUAGAGAUCCGGAGGAACACCAGUGGCGAAGGCGACACGCUGGGCCGUACCUGACACUGAUACGCGACAGCAUGGGGAGCGAACAGG